rnacentral:misc_RNA from 1 species
AAAAAAGGUCUUUACCACAACACCGAUGACUUCCGUUCGCGGAAGCUGUCGGUUGGACACCGUUCCCCUCUCUCUGUACAGGGAGGAGGGACAUCUGUGAACCAUCGUUUAAUCGUCUGUGGGUGGUCUUCGGACCUUUGAGGCGCUGCGCGGCUAACCCCGCGUGCCUACCCAGCGACUUCUGACUAACCUCUAAUGCUUUGUAUUUCGUGAAUCGUUCUUCUUCUGAAGGACAAACUCAUUA